rnacentral:lncRNA from 1 species
AUAGGAACAGCUCCAGUCCACAGCUCCCAGCGUGAGCGACGCAGAAGACGGGUGAUUUCUGCAUUUCCAUCUGAGCAGGCUUUUCUUCUUGGAGCUGAAACAGGCGCACUGGCGAGGGUUGUGAGGAAAGGUUUGCAGCCCCCUGCCUUGGUCUGCUAUAGCCAGUGACACGAUCAAUACCAGGGUGAGCAGCAGAGGAAGCUCAGGGAAGAUUAUGAAGAUGAGGUCUUCUUUGAUAACAUGUCAAGGAGUUACAUUUGACAUAGCCCUGUUAUUUUUACCACAGGAAUUUGCCUGAGUUCUGAUCAAUGCUAAAAACACCAUUUAACAGUGCCCUUUCCUGCCUGGGAAGCCCACAAAGAUUUCGCUUUUCACUUAUUACUCAUCAAACUGACUCUGGUUCACAGUGGAAAAGAGAAGAAAAGCUGAUGGAGAAAUGGCAGUGAAGAAGGAGAACAAAAUGUCAGAGCAAUACUUUUGAGCGACUAUAUCCUUUUCAUUAAAGUCAGUCUAUAGACGUGAAGCCAACAGGGACCCUCAGGCCUGUGCAUCAGGAUGGUGGGCUGCCUAAGUCCUCUGGGGACAGCAGUGCCAGAAGGAGUAUUGGACACAGUGACCCGACUGUAUGAGAUGAGAAAAAACAAAAACAGGAGGUCCGCAGUACUGAUGAACUAAUCUGUCACUCACAAGCUCAGGUCUGCAAAAAAAAGAAACGAAGCACUAAACAUGGCCAUAAGAGAUGGAAAUGCAAGUCUUCAUUUCUAAAUGAUAAUCAAACCAACGAUCAGAAACUGAUUAACUGUGUAAUUGAAUUGAAUUGAAAAUCAUCCCAUGAAUAACAAUCCAUCCUACCUUCAAGGGGUUAGGAAGCUAACUACAGGUAAUUGCUAUCAGAAAUCUGAUUUGAUUUCCAAAAAUUGUGUGAAUGAACCAAGUUUCUUCAUCUUGAUAUACUAGGCAGGGAGUUUGUUCUUCCAAGUACUAGACUGCUUAAUUGCUUGCUUGGGGGAGGAGAAAUCCUAGGGGAAAGGCAUAUAUGAGCAAUUUCUACUCUGUGAAGCCAGCGCUGUGUCCUGAGCUGGAUCAUGGCCAGAAACAGAAAAGUCUACUCUUCCCUACAGUGGAAGCAACUGUGGAUAUUUCAUCCUAGGAGUGAAUGAAAAAACCUAAAGCUCAUACUUCAUGGGAAUCUUUCAAUAUUCUGACUGAAAACUGGUUAUUUGCUCCUCCAACCCAAAGCCAUCUAGGAACAGCACUCAGAACAGGAAAAAAAAAAGACAAAAAUAAUAAUUAUUCCAAAACGUAUUUGAGCAGAAACAAACACAAACAUUUGCAUUAUUAAAUGGGCUUGUUCACACCUGCUGAGUAGAUAUAAGACGAUAUUUAAGACAAGAGCUAAAAAAUAAACCAUCCCUUUCUGGUUUUGAGUGACAGCAGAGCAAUAAAAAUUAUUUUCACAUUCUUUUCCCUAUUGUUAGAAGUAAUCAUUUGAGUAAAUACACUUAUCUGUGCUGUAACUAUUGAAAUGAAUCCACUUCAAAUAUGUAUACCACCUUUCUUUUUUAUAUUUCUAGAUAUGGUUUCAAUAUAGACUUUCUGACUUUUAUGGUAUACAUAUAGGACAAUAUUCUAUUCUUCUUUCCUUUUAAAUACUUACUGUUUCAAUUUCAAAUAAAAAAUCAGCAUUCUAGUUUGUACAUUUUAGCACAGAAAUGUUUACAACCUUCAGCACAAUUGCUUUUGUAAUUUACUGACUUGGCAUUUUGAGGCGUUUUUAACAAAUUAUGAGAAAUAACACCUUCAGAAAGCAUGUGACUACUUUGAUGCAACUAUUUACAAUGUAUUCAUAAGAAGUCAUUAACCUGUAGAGUUCUUAGACAUGUGGAACCUUUAACAAUUAUACUAAAGAGUACAUACAAAAUACAGAGCUAUGUAAUAAUAACUAAUUUUAAAUCCUGACAAAUUAGAAGUUAAGCCUACUAUCUGUAAAAAUAUGUCCUGAUUCAUUUUUUUAAGUAUAUACCUGAGCCUUUAAAAAGUAUAUGCCUUUACAAUUGAUUUCCAAUAAACAAUACUGAAUAACAAACUACAAGUGACUUUCCUGAUUUUUUCACCAGAAAUAUAUAGAAAAAGGAAAUCCUAUUCUUAUUAGAGAUUGAAGUACAGUAAUUCUGCACGGUAUUAAGAACCAUAACUAUGCCAUACAGAAGACAGG